GUGAGGAAUAUUGGUCAAUGGGCGGGAGCCUGAACCAGCCAAGUCGCGUGAAGGAAGAAGGAUCUAUGGUUCGUAAACUUCUUUUGCAGGGGAAUAAAGUGCAGGACGUGUCCUGUUUUGUAUGUACCCUGAGAAUAAGGAUCGGCUAACUCCGUGCCAGCAGCCGCGGUAAUACGGAGGAUCCGAGCGUUAUCCGGAUUGAUUGGGUUUAAAGGGUGCGUAGGUGGUUUGAUAAGUCAGCGGUGAAAGGUUGCAGCUUAACUGUAAAAAUGCCGUUGAAACUGUCGGACUUGAGUGUAAAUGAGGUAGGAGGAAUGCGUGGUGUAGCGGUGAAAUGCAUAGAUAUCACGCAGAACUCCGAUUGCGAAGGCAGCUUACUAAGCUACAACUGACACUGAAGCACGAAAGCGUGGGGAUCAAACAGGAUUAGAUACCCUAGUAGUCC
rnacentral:rRNA from 1 species